rnacentral:rRNA from 1 species
GUGGGGAAUAUUGCACAAUGGGCGAAAGCCUGAUGCAGCAACGCCGCGUGAAGGAAGAAGGGUUUCGGCUCGUAAACUUCUAUCAACAGGGACGAAGGAAGUGACGGUACCUGAAUAAGAAGCCCCGGCUAACUACGUGCCAGCAGCCGCGGUAAUACGUAGGGGGCAAGCGUUAUCCGGAAUUACUGGGUGUAAAGGGUGAGUAGGCGGCAUGGUAAGCCAGAUGUGAAAGCCUUGGGCUUAACCCGAGGAUUGCAUUUGGAACUAUCAAGCUAGAGUACAGGAGAGGAAAGCGGAAUUCCUAGUGUAGCGGUGAAAUGCGUAGAUAUUAGGAAGAACACCAGUGGCGAAGGCGGCUUUCUGGACUGAAACUGACGCUGAGGCACGAAAGCGUGGGGAGCGAACAGG